UACGAAGGGGGCUAGCGUUGUUCGGAUUUACUGGGCGUAAAGAGCGCGUAGGCGGAAGCUUAAGCGGUGCCCUGAAAGCCCCCGGCUCAACCGGGGGAGGGUGGUGCCGAACUGGGCUUCUUGAGGGCGAUAGAGGAGAGUGGAAUUCCGGGUGUAGCGGUGAAAUGCGUAGAGAUCCGGAGGAACACCAGUGGCGCAGGCGGCUCACUGGCCCGAUACUGACGCUGAGGCACGAAAGCGUGGGGAGCAAACAGG
rnacentral:rRNA from 1 species